rnacentral:rRNA from 1 species
ACGCACGCUGGCGGCGUGCUUCACACAUGCCAGUCGAACGGAAAGGCCCUGCUUUUUUGGGGUGCUCGAGUGGCGAACGGGUGAGUAACACGUGAGUAACCUGCCCUUGACUUUGGGAUAACUUCAGGAAACUGGGGCUAAUACCGGAUAGGAGCUCCUGCUGCAUGGUGGGGGUUGGAAAGUUUCGGCGGCUGGGGAUGGACUCGCGGCUUAUCAGCUUGUUGGUGGGGUAGUGGCUUACCAAGGCUUUGACGGGUAGCCGGCCUGAGAGGGUGACCGGCCACAUUGGGACUGAGAUACGGCCCAGACUCCUACGGGAGGCAGCAGUGGGGAAUAUUGCACAAGGGGCGGAAGCCUGAGGCAGCAACGCCGCGUGCGGGAUGACGGCCUUCGGGUUGUAAACCGCUUUCGCCUGUGACGAAGCGUGAGUGACGGGAAUGGGGAAAGAAGCACCGGCGAACUACGU